AACAUCAUCAAUUGUACUAUUUUUCACAAGACUAGCCAACAUUUGAGAACCUUGACAACACUUUGCUGUAAUAUUUUCUCUACAACCCAACAGAAAUGGUUGGCAUGGUGAUAAUAAAUCUUGGGCUUGAUAGCAAAUAAGUGAUUUCAAAGGGAUAAUAUUUUCCAUAGUCACAAAUCCGACAAAUACUAGAACAAUUAGUGAACAUAACAUUGUUUCUUUCAUUUUCAUAUGUUGAUAUAAUUGUAAGUAUACUGAAUUUUUUUUUCUUUG
rnacentral:lncRNA from 1 species